rnacentral:rRNA from 1 species
AGAACGAACGCUGGCGGCAUGCCUAACACAUGCAAGUCGAACGCUCUUGGUUUCGGCCAAGGGAGUGGCGCACGGGUGAGUAACGCGUGGGAACCUGCCCUGGAGUGGGGGAUAACCGAGGGAAACCUCGGCUAAUACCGCAUACGACCUGAGGGUGAAAGAUUUAUCGCUCUAGGAGGGGCCCGCGUCGGAUUAGCUAGUUGGUGAGGUAACGGCCCACCAAGGCUAUGAUCCGUAGCUGGUCUGAGAGGAUGAUCAGCCACACUGGGACUGAGACACGGCCCAGACUCCUACGGGAGGCAGCAGUGGGAAUAUUGGACAAUGGGCGCAAGCCUGAUCCAGCAAUGCCGCGUGAGUGAUGAAGGCCUUAGGGUGUAAAGCUCUUUCACACGCGACGAUGAUGACGGUAGCGUGAGAAGACGCCCGGCUAACUUCGCGCCAGCAGCCGC